rnacentral:misc_RNA from 1 species
CGCCGCACAUCGCUCUCGCGGGCGCCCGACCCGGCGGCGACUCGCCCGCUGCCUUCUAGGACUCCCGUAAAUUAUCGCGCUACCGUUACCGAACUGCGGAUCCUCGCCGAGCACCGAAGUCAAAAACGCGCUCCGAAACCCGCCGGCGACCGCGACGUAUCCACGUGCCCGUCUCGUUGCUCAACUAAGUCUUCCUAUAUAUGGCUAGUGGUCAGUGUUAAACGGUGAAUAGAAUAUAAAUAUAAAAUGGCGUGGGGAUAUUGGUCGGCGUCUGCCGUUUUACCCGAUCGUGGCCGGAGCCCUCGCCGCGCCGGCACCUCGGUGGUACACUCGCAUCCCAACCCACCGACGGCGAGGGAAGUUCUCGAAUCACACGAAGAAAGCAUAAUACACACGGCCUCGACGUCGAGAGAUAGUCGCGAUCACUCCGCCUCGCCUCACUCGUCAUCGAACGGCGGUCACUCUCAUCACCACGAAGUGAGGCACGCGGUGCCAGCCAGUGCUCUGUUCGGUGAAAGUUACGG